AGUUCAUCUUAUUUUGCAUAAUAUUUUGGUACGCAGUAGUAUUAUUGUUUUAAAUUUAAAUGCAUAUUUCUGUAGUUAUUAAAACUAAAAAGUAAAAAAUUUGUUUGGUCAAUGAUAGAACAUAAAAUAUUGUCUAGUUCAGUUGGUCCCAAACUUUUACAACCAUGGCACCCUUUGAAAAAAGUUUGUGUUUUAUGGAACCCCAACUCUUACUGAACCC